UUUAUGUGCAAGUUUGCACGCAGAAAUCAGGAGUUGUCAAUAAGUUGCAUCAAAAUUUAUUUUAAAUUAUCAAUCAAGUUUAGAACCAACUGAUACGUCCGAUUAGAGCGACGUCUAGGCCUCUAAAAAACUUUAUUUGUUUUGUUGUCAUUUAUUUAAGAACUGUACGUGAGAGAGGUACGGAAGCUCUUAUGGACAUAGUUUGGGCGUUUUUUAUGCACAUCACUAGCUGCGGACACGUGCUUCCUCAGAAUAAUACAGAUUAAUCAACGCUGGAACAAGGGCAGGUGACCUCCCUCUUCCUGGCCUGUACUUCACUCUUAGAGGCAGCUGGACCUAUCAUUAAUCAUACGUCCACGGUGAUAUACCAUACAUGAAAAUGUUCUCUGCAACGCCGAUGCCCAUCCCGCCGAACACUGCUGCCUUGGAACCGACCUCCAUCGCCAGCAACAUCAAAACACAGAUCCUCACAGGAGGCCGGAGCUGAAUGAUUAUCUUGCGAUAAUUGCAGCGCUUUUGUUAUCUUACGGAGGAACUCACUUUUACACAUACCACAAGUUGUUUUCAGCAAAAUGCAUAGUCCAUGUUGCUCAGUGGAACCAGUGCCCCUACUGGGGCGCACUAGACACAGAUCUCCGCAACAGAGUGUUCCUGGGCUGCCGCACUAAUUCCUGUGCUGUUCGUAGAUCAGUUGCCCAAAUCCACCACAGCUUGUCCUCUGAUUUACCCUUCAAUUCCCCCUUGCCCAGAUUCAUCCCAGGAAAAAUCAACUAGCUACAUCCCGCAGCCAGCAAACACCAACUUCAACUCCUCAGCUAUGGAUUCUAGAAUGAAAGGUCUAGAAGGGAAGGUCUGAUGUCGCAGACCCAGUGCUUAUCAGUGCCGACAGCCCACGGCGGAGUCAAGGGAGGGAGGAGCCAAAAUGGUGUUGUGGUGGCAGACGGCAUCUGGGGGACGACCGACGCAGACUGGGACGAUGGAUCCAUAGAAACGAGCGACAUCGCUGGCACUGGAGACCUCAGCAAUGCCGCGGCGAGGAGUGUCGGAGGCGGAGCCAGAAAACCCGAGGGCUGAGGUGGAGCCGGUGUGACAGAGAACAGAGGUGAAGCUGAAGGGAAGGAGGAAUCCGCUGCAGCCAUAGGGGUGGAGGGACGGAGCGCAGCGGACGGUCCAUGGCGGAAGUAGAGUGACGACUGACCAAGUCGGAGCUGGUGGGACGAGGGAACCCAGAGUAGCUGCCAGGCCGAGGGUCUCAGGUGGAGAUAUUGUUGAAUAAAGUUUUUUAUGUUUUGUUUUUGCGCACAAAAAGUAUUCUCGUCGCUUUAUAAAAUUAAGGUUGAACCACUGCGGUCAUGUCGACUGUUUUAACAAGUACUUUUCUGGACCUUGGAAAAGUCAUAUACCUCUCGGAUUUCAUCAAAAAUAUCUUAAUUUGUGUUUGUGUCAAAAAUCUAAUUAAAAAAGAAGUUGAAUCAGGCUUCACAAUUGGCCCUUUUGACAUAUUAUGAAUAUUCAACUUUUUUUUUUUUUUUUUUUGAUAUUCCUAUAAACCACCCGUUGAAACCUCUUCUUGACACCUCUCUCAACUCCAUUUUUUCAAUCUUCAUUUUCCAUUCUUCCAUUCUUCUAGAACUCUCCAAUCUUACUUAACUGCAUGGAGAUGUUUUAAGUAAUUUCACUUUACAUACAACCUGCCUUGCAGGUUUAUCAGUGCUAGAUAGCGAACAUUACAGAUUUAUCAGCGCUAGAUAGGGAAACCUUACUUCAUCAAACAAAGACAGAUCAAACGAAAAAAGGCCAUUUCAUUUACAUUUUGAUUCUCCCAUCACCAAUUUAGUGGUACCAAUUCCUUUCAGCCUACUUAAAUUUCAGAAGCACACAGGCUUAAGUCCCGUCCCGCUCUUCGUAGAUGAUUCCAAUCACCCCAUCAUGCGUUUCUGGUUCCAAAAACACCUGAAAUCCAUUUUGAUUUAAUCCGGCAUCCCAGCAGAUCACUUUUCAAGCCAUUCAUUUCGCAUAGGUGCAGCAACCAUAGUUGCUCAAAAUGCCUCUCAGAUUCCAGCACUUGGCCAUUGGUCGUCAGAGGCUUUCAAGUGCUAUAUUAGACCCAAUCACUUCCAUAUCAAAGAAGUUUAAUGAACCUUUACAAGCUAAAUUCUCUAGCUAAACUCGUUCUUAUACACUCAAAAUCUACAGGCUUACCGUAUCCGCCUCAAUUUAAAUUUUUUUUUUUUUUUACUUCAUUGCCGCAGCAGUGUUUUCCCACCUGCUCCCGCAGGAGCCCACUCUCUUACCUUCAUUCUUUCACUGCCGCAGCAGUGAUAUCCCCUCUGCUCCUGCCGGAGCUCCGUUUCUCAAUCUAACCUUGCCUUCACUGCUGCAGAAGCGAUAUUUGCUCCACUUCUUCAUCUAACCUUUCCAUCACUGCCACAGCAAUGAUGUCCCCUCUGUUUGUCCGUUUGUCCGUCUAACCUUUCCAUCACUGCCGCAGCAGUGAUUUCCCCUCCGCUCCAGCAGGAGCUUCAUUUUUUCAUGUAACCUUGCCUUUACUGCCGCAGCAGUGUUAUCUCCUCUGCUCCCGCAGGAGUGCGCCCCAUGCGCGACUGUCCCCAGCCAACUACUGGCAAGGUUUACCCAUCCGAUGCUAUAAGUAUCAAACACCCGUUCAAUGAUGCGAGAGCUCUCCUGUUGUAACCUACUGUGAUGUUGUAAGGAUGCACUCGACACAGGUUACUUUGAACGAAUAUAUUUAAUUUAGGGGGAAACGCAAAAACAAAUACAGAAUGGCGCAGCAUAUAUCAGUCUCUGUCCAACUCUGUGUGAAUGCAGGGCUUAGGGGAAACCCCAAACAUGGGUCUUAAAGGAACAUACACCCAGACCAUUACACCGUUCCAGCAACCAACCCCCUCCCUGCGAAUGACGCACCAUCAGCUUUACACUCCACAAUUUUUUGGGGGGUUGUCCGUACUACUACUGGGUGCUGUCCUGCAUUGGUUUUGCAUCUUUUUUGGGGGAGGACUCUGGGUUCAGGCCAAAAUACUGAGCUCGGAGCCCUCUCCUCGGACAUGCGUGCCAAAUACGCAUACUCUUUAUUCCGUUCGAUUAUUUGUAAGUGUGAACUUGUGAAAUCAAUAUAUUGAUUUAGAAUUUGCAAACAUGCAUUCAUUAUCCCCUGAAUUUAGAGAGUUCCUGUUACAUUUGAAUAAUUAAAGUGUUUGUUCAUUAAGUCAUGGAGGUUUUUAAAACAAAAAUGAUCAAAAUGACACAUAGUAAUGUUUAAACCAAUGCUUUAUGCUAUUAUUUUGGUGAAUGUUUAUGUAAGCUUGAUAAUGUUGAAAGAAAGUUCUAUUAAUGAUACUGUGAGAAUGUUUUGUUUUUAACUUUGAGAGAAGUAUUGUAGAAUGUUCUGAGAAUGUUCCUUGUUAGCUGGGAUAUAGAUAUAAUAUAUUGUACAAAAACUAUUGCACAUAUGCCAGAACACCAAAGCCAUAUUGCAGUAAACAGGGGAAAGACUUGUGGGUAAAAUGUGGAGGUUCUGGAAGGACAGAUUAUUCAGUGGUUGGAAUAACUAAAUGCAACACACCAUGCCUUCCUCGUUAAAAUUCAAUGAGUUCCUGAUGAGACCACAUUAAGGCUGCUUUUUGAAAAAAAUAAAUGCAUCAAGCUGGACAGAUUCCCAUUUUGUUUACAAAUGGUCACCAGUAAGGUGUUGCUCUCAGUACCAAUGACUUAAAAACUCUUUGUUGGAAAAAACACAGUGCUAUUCUGUUCAGUUCAUUGGACAAUGAACUGCUGUGUACAUGCCAUAUAAAUAUCUUAUCUGCAAUAAUAGUGCCUUAUCUGCAAUAAUCAGCAGCUACUAAAUGUUAGGGUCAUCAACAGUCAUAAUUAAAGGCACUAAUUUCACAACAUCUCAUCGGAUUAAAGAAUAAAUCCACUGAAGUUAGCAGUGGGCGAUUUGUUGUAAUUUACUUGCUAAUAGUCUCAGGCAAACAGUGAUUCACAAUUAAAUGAACUGAAAUGACAGUUGAUAUGUCUGGCACUCAUUUUAGCUAGCAUGGCUGUGAAAUGUUGUUUAUGUGAGGGUUUAUAUGUGCUGAUGUUAAACCGGGUGUCCCAAGUGCCCUGUUUAGCAUCAUGUUGAGUAGCGUGCAAAAGAAAGAUGAGAGCCCCAAGGCUACAGUGCUGGACAAAUGUCUCUGCCCAUGCAUGAAGUCACAGAGCCACCGCAACACAUGUUUCAGUGUCUGGUGAAUGUCAUGCAUCAGCUGACCUAAUUUCUUCUACUUUAGUCGUUCUUUUUGCUGGAGGUCCCAGAGCCAUGGGUGAGAAACUAUUGUGGUUUUAAUUUGUAAGCUUUAUAAUUAUGCUGUUUAAUUUAUAGAUCAUAAUGAUUAUUUACAU